rnacentral:lncRNA from 1 species
AAUUUUAUGGUUUCUUUGUCCUUUUCUUAGAUUAAGUCACCAUUCCUCUCAUUCCUUUUUUAUCAGUUGAGGAGUGGGCUAGAGAUUCGCAUUUCCUAUAGUAAACAAAGUCUGUGGGGAAUGCACAUUUCCUAUAAUAAAACAAGUCCUGUGGAGGUGUUACUCCCUGGAGCCCUUAAGCCACUAGUGUUAAUCAAAAUCCAUAUCAAAAAAAUGUAUUGGAGCCCAGGUUCCUACACUGACUGAGUUAAUAUUCUGUCUCAUAAAGACUAGACCAAUUGCAAGCUUGCAACAGUGGUUUUUUGCUAUGUAAACCAUAGGUGAAUAACUUGGCCCAUUACCCCUCAAUUUCCACAUCUUAAAAAGAGGAUAAAAGCUUAUGAUGGAGCAUGAUAAUGUGAGAAAAAAAAAGUAUACAUGUAUGUGUAACUGGGUCACCAUGCUGUACAGCAAAAAAAAAAAAAAAAAUUAUUGGGGAAAUAACAAUUAAAACAAACUAUUCCUACUACCUAGGGAUGGCUUGAGUUUUAAAUGAGAUAAUUUAUGUAAACUAUUUAGAUGAGUUCUUCAGAAAUUUGAAGAAUUUUCUAAGUAUCAGCAGUUAUUAUCAUCAUCACUUCAUCUGGGGAAUCCCGAAUGUUUCAUCUACUCUCUUUUGUAGCCUUUAAAAUUAUCUUCCUGACAACAAUGUUGGACAUUUGAACCUUUGAUCCCUGGUGUUCUUAUCUACCAUCCAUGUGACUUGAUGGGGACACUGAUCUGAACCACAUUGCUGCUCUGUUCCAGCUCUGAUGUCACCUGCUGUUUGAUACCUGCUGUUUGAUACCUGCUGUUUGUCCCCUCUGAAAUUUCUAUCUGAGGGAAAGGAUGUCCCUACUCCCACUAGCCUUAAGAGUCUGCAUGGACUUCCUCAUCUUCAAAAUGGAAUCAAUCCACAUCUUGUUUUCUGACUAUUUGGUGCCCUUCUCAUGGAGACUGAAUGAAGAAUGCUUUGCAAAUAUCAUUGUGAACUGUAAGUAGUUUCAUGACUAUGAUGUGAUCAUUGAGGUCUCUGUGGCAGGUGAGGGAAUGCAUGCUGAUAUAAUACUUUUGACUGGUUUCUUCCUCAGUUGAAUGACUCUACACAGGAUUUUAACCUCAAGUUAAACCACGGGUUCCACACUGGUGUGUUCAUUUUCUGGUCUUUGUAUACAUAAAACGAAGGCUUUACCUUAAUCUAUAUACAAAAAAAAAAAAAAAAAGAAAAAAAAAGAAAGAAGGAAAGAAAGGAAGGAAGGAAUAAAAAGGGGGAAAGGGAGGAAGGAAAGAAAAAA